rnacentral:rRNA from 1 species
CGACCCCAGGUCAGGCGGGAUUACCCGCUGAAUUUAAGCA